rnacentral:lncRNA from 1 species
ACAAGUUUGCCACUCCAAUGAAUUAAGGUAUAAAUAUGACUUUAUAGCCAAAAUUCAUUAAGGGUUUCUUUUAGAGAAAAUUGGUGAGAACUUGUCUCUCCUUUUCUCUCUAGGAGGCUGGCCCCCUUGGAGGGUGGAUCUAGCAAUCCCACUACUCCAAGGUCACUUAUUCCUUCUCCAAUCUCUCCUUGGUGUGGAGACUUAGAGGUUCUCAAUUUUGGGAACUUGGAGAAACCUUUUCACCCAUCCAAAUCCAUAGAUUUUAGAUGCAAGGAAUGAAGGCCCUCUCUUUGGGUGAUUAGCCUUUGCUUAUGCAAAGAGGAAUCUACAAAGGUAUAAAUCUCAACUCACUUUGUUUUGAGUUGAUUCUUGGUUCACCAAUCUACUAGGCUUUGAAUUUCAUGGUUAAUGUUUUGUUUUUGAAUGCAUGCAAGCAUGAUU